UCCCAGACUCCUACGGGAGGCAGCAGUGAGGAAUAUUGGUCAAUGGUCGGGAGACUGAACCAGCCAGGCCGCGUGAGGGAGGAAGGAACAGAGUAUCGUAAACCUCUUUUGUCAGGGAACAAAGGCGGGGACGUGUCCCCGGAUGAGUGUACCUGAAGAAAAAGCAUCGGCUAACUACGUUCCAGCAGCCGCGGUAAUACGUAGGGGGCAAGCGUUAUCCGGAUUUACUGGGUGUAAAGGGAGCGUAGACGGCAGCACAAGUCUGGAGUGAAAUCCCGGGGCUUAACCCCGGAACUGCUUUGGAAACUGGGCGGCUGGAGUGCAGGAGGGGUAAGCGGAAUUCCUAGUGUAGCGGUGAAAUGCGUAGAUAUUAGGAGGAACACCGGUGGCGAAGGCGGCUUACUGGACUGUAACUGACGUUGAGGCUCGAAAGCGUGGGGAGCAAACAGGAUUAGAUACCCCUGUAU
rnacentral:rRNA from 1 species